rnacentral:tRNA from 1 species
GCGGCCGUCGUCUAGUCUGGUUAGGACACAGACGCUGCAAGAAGCCGUUUGCAACGGUGGAGGCCUUCCAAGCCUGCGAUCCCGGGUUCGAAUCCCGGCGGCCGCACCA